GACGAACGCUGGCGGCGUGCCUAAUACAUGCAAGUCGAACGAGUGGCGAACGGGUGAGUAAUACGUGAGUAACCUGCCCUCUUUUUGGGAUAAGCCUUGGAAACGGGGUCUAAUACCGGAUAAAGGGGGAUGGGCUCGCGGCCUAUUGGCGUGUUGGUGGGGUGAUGGGCUACCAAGGCGGUGACGGGUCGCCGGCCUGAGAGGGUGAACGGCGACAUUGGGACGGAGAUACGGCCCAGAGUAGUACGCGAGGGAGAAGUGGGGGAUAUUGCAGAAUGGGUGAAAGCCUGAUGCAGCGAGGCCGCGUGGGGGAUGAGGGCUUUCGGGUUGUAAACCUCUUUAGCUAUAGAACGGGUAGGUGGAGAAGAAGCGCCGGCUAACUACGUGCCAGCAGCCGCGGUAAUUC
rnacentral:rRNA from 1 species